rfam:Lacunisphaera limnophila strain IG16b chromosome, complete genome.
CGGGACGUAGCUUAGCCUGGUAGAGCGCUUGCUUCGGGAGCAAGAGGUCGAGAGUUCGAAUCUCUCCGUCCCGA